rnacentral:rRNA from 1 species
GACGAACGCUGGCGGCGCGCCUAACACAUGCAAGUCGAACGGAGCUUAGAGAGCUUGCUUUGAACUUAGUGGCGGACGGGUGAGUAACGCGUGAGCAACCUGCCUUUCAGAGGGGGAUAACAUUUGGAACAAAUGCUAAUACCGCAUAAGAUUACAGUACCGCAUGAUACAGUGAUCAAAGGAGCAAUCCGCUGAAAGAUGGGCUCGCGUCCGAUUAGAUAGUUGGUGAGGUAACGGCUCACCAAGUCGACGAUCGGUAGCCGGACUGAGAGGUUGAACGGCCACAUUGGGACUGAGACACGGCCCAGACUCCUACGGGAGGCAGCAGUGGGGAAUAUUGCACAAUGGGCGAAAGCCUGAUGCAGCAACGCCGCGUGAGGGAAGACGGUUUUCGGAUUGUAAACCUCUGUUUUCGGUGACGAACAAAUGACGGUAACCGAGUAGGAAGCCACGGCUAACUACGUG